AUAACCUUUUCCAUAAUGAGGCUGAGGUUGUAGAUUGUGCUCUUCAGUGCAUAUACGCUUGCUCUGGUACAGAUAGGUGGAGUACGAUGGCCUCCAUUUUGUCUAAACUUCCAUUUCCACGUGAUUCUGAAGCGGCGAGUCUCAAGGAAAGGUUGAGACUCACAGAAGGUCAUAUUGAAGCAGGAAGAAUAUUGGCGCUUUACCAG
rnacentral:misc_RNA from 1 species